rnacentral:lncRNA from 1 species
GGAGUUUCUAAUUUAGAGAAUGCAAAACCAAAAAAGAGAAAGUUAUUCCGGAGAUUUAUGUCUGAAAAUAAAAUAUUUGGUUAGUGAUUCCUAAGGUUACAAGUGUAAACGAUGUAUUCUGUCUCCCCACAAGUUCUUUUCUCCUGCUCCUGCCACAAAGCAACAAAACUGAUUAAUGAAAGUCAAAUUGAGUUGUCUUUGAAUUAUAUAGAAGAACAUUUUUUAAAAGUGGCUUCAUUCUAACUUUAAAUGGCUAUGACAAAGAAAUCAUUGAUUUAUUUGCAAUAUUUUCCGUUUAUAUUUAAACAGAAUAAUCCUCUUUGGUAGUUCAUUGGCUGCUCAUCUUCCAGCUCUCCAUGUGUAGCUUGGCUGCUCCGUGGUCAAGGUGACUUGUUAGAGAUCAUUUUAGAUCUGUGAAUCUAGGAGACAAUAAAAAAUUAGCAGAAAGUG